GGCGGCGCGCCUAACACAUGCAAGUCAAACGAGAGAGAGGAAGCUUGCUUCUUCAAUCGAGUGGCGAACGGGUGAGUAACGCGUGAGGAACCUGCCUCAAAGAGGGGGACAACAGUUGGAAACGACUGCUAAUACCGCAUAAGCCCACAGCUCGGCAUCGAGCAGAGGGAAAAGGAGCAAUCCGCUUUGAGAUGGCCUCGCGUCCGAUUAGCUAGUUGGUGAGGUAAUGGCCCACCAAGGCGACGAUCGGUAGCCGGACUGAGAGGUUGAACGGCCACAUUGGGACUGAGACACGGCCCAGACUCCUACGGGAGGCAGCAGUGGGGAAUAUUGCACAAUGGGGGAAACCCUGAUGCAGCGACGCCGCGUGGAGGAAGAAGGUCUUCGGAUUGUAAACUCCUGUUGUUGAGGAAGAUAAUGACGGUACUCAACAAGGAAGUGACGGCUAACUACGUGCCGGCAGCCGCGGUAAAACGUAGGUCACAAGCGUUGUCCGGAAUUACUGGGUGUAAAGGGAGCGCAGGCGGGAAGACAAGUUGGAAGUGAAAUCUAUGGGCUCAACCCAUAAACUGCUUUCAAAACUGUUUUUCUUGAGUAGUGCAGAGGUAGGCGGAAUUCCCGGUGUAGCGGUGGAAUGCGUAGAUAUCGGGAGGAACACCAGUGGCGAAGGCGGCCUACUGGGCACCAACUGACGCUGAGGCUCGAAAGUGUGGGUAGCAAACAGGAUUAGAUACCCUGGUAAUCCACACCGUAAACGAUGAUUACUAGGUGUUGGAGGAUUGACCCCUUCAGUGCCGCAGUUAACACAAUAAGUAAUCCACCUGGGGAGUACGACCGCAAGGUUGAAACUCAAAGGAAUUGACGGGGGCCCGCACAAGCAGUGGAGUAUGUGGUUUAAUUCGACGCAACGCGAAGAACCUUACCAAGUCUUGACAUCCCUUGACGAACAUAGAAAUAUGUUUUCUCUUCGGAGCAAGGAGACAGGUGGUGCAUGGUUGUCGUCAGCUCGUGUCGUGAGAUGUUGGGUUAAGUCCCGCAACGAGCGCAACCCUUACUGUCAGUUACUACGCAAGAGGACUCUGGCAGGACUGCCGUUGACAAAACGGAGGAAGGUGGGGAUGACGUCAAAUCAUCAUGCCCUUUAUGACUUGGGCUACACACGUACUACAAUGGCGUUAAACAAAGAGAAGCAAGACCGCGAGGUGGAGCAAAACUCAGAAACAACGUCCCAGUUCGGACUGCAGGCUGCAACUCGCCUGCACGAAGUCGGAAUUGCUAGUAAUCGUGGAUCAGCAUGCCACGGUGAAUACGUUCCCGGGCCUUGCACA
rnacentral:rRNA from 1 species